AUGUUUGCUUCAUCAGUAUAUGCACUAAAAAUUAGAACAAUACAGGAAAGAGUAGCACAGGCCUUAUGCAAGAAUGACUCACAAAUUCAUGAAGUGUUCCAUAUUUUU